rnacentral:ncRNA from 2 species
CACUUGAUUGACUCGUCAAAAAGAUUGGCUUAGACAUCGGGUUAUUUUUGCAUGAUGAAAGAUUCAAAGCCUUGCUCAAGUUUUUCAACUUUGAGCUGUUUCCAGUUUCUAAGUCACUGGGUUACUCAAAGUUAAAAGUUGUUUUGCCCUCUUGUAAAAAAAAAUUGAUAAAACUUGACCGAUGAGUUAAACUAUGCCCUUUGUACACACCGCCUGUCGCUACUACCAAUGAUUUAGCGAGCACUUUGGGUAAACUUUUAGUCGGAUUGUGCUGGAAAGAUGUUCAAACUUGAUCAUUUAGAGGAAGUAAAAGUCGUACCAAGGUUUCCGUAGGUGAACCUGCGGAAGGAUCAUUA